rnacentral:tRNA from 1 species
CGGGCUGUAGUAUAUCGGUUGUACAAGUGCUUUGGGAGCAUUUAGGCUGGGUUCGACUCCCAGCAGCCCGACCA